AUUGAACGCUGGCGGCAGGCCUAACACAUGCAAGUCGAACGAGCGGCGGACGGGUGAGUAAUGUAUGGGGAUCUGCCCGAUGGAGGGGGAUAACUACUGGAAACGGUGGCUAAUACCGCAUACUAUCGGAUGUGCCCAUAUGGGAUUAGCUAGUAGGUGGGGUAACGGCUCACCUAGGCGACGAUCCCUAGCUGGUCUGCGAGGGUGACCAGCCACACUGGGACUGAGACACGGCCCAGACUCCUACGGGAGGCAGCAGUGGGGAAUAUUGCACAAUGGGCGCAAGCCUGAUGCAGCCAUGCCGCGUGUAUGAAGAAGGCCUUCGGGUUGUAAAGUACUUUCAGCGGGGAGGCGUUACCCGCAGAAGAAGCACCGGCUAACUCCGUGCCAGCAGCCGCGGUAAUUC
rnacentral:rRNA from 1 species